AGAGGUGUGGCCAAGAGGAUACGGCAAUCGGCUUUGACCCGAUGAUCGCUGGUUCGAAUCCAGCCAUCUCUG
rnacentral:tRNA from 1 species